rnacentral:lncRNA from 1 species
CAUCCAUUACUUGAUCCUACUUUACAUGUCUAGGCUGUGUGGUUGGUGGUGAAUAGGCUUCUUUUUACAUGGUGCUGCCAGCCCAGCUAAUUAAUGGUGCACGUGGACUUUUAGCAAGCGGGCUCACUGGAAGAGACUGAACCUGGCAUGGAAUUCCUGAAGAUGUUUGGGGUUUUUUUCUUUCUUAAUCGAAAGUUAACAUUGUCUGAAAAGUUUUGUUAGAACUACUGCGGAACCUCAAAAUCAGUAGAUUUGGAAGUGAUUCAAAGCUAAACUUUUUCCUUGGCCCUCCUUGUGUUCUAAUUGCUUGCAAGUGUAAUACUAGGAUGUCCAAGAUGCCAGUUUUUGCUUCUUUGUUAGUUGUCAGCUGCUUUUAUCAAAUUUCAGGCCAUUAUCCAACAAACACUAUAAAAAUGUUUGAACAAUUGGAUUUCAAACAUUUUCGUUUUGUGGAGUGGUGCUCACCAAGUGGUACAGCCCUAAGCAAGUGAACACAAACACAUUUAAGUGUAUUUUGUCUGAUUAGAUGUUAGCCAGUUAUGCUAUUUCAUUCAAAUGUCUGAAAAAAUCAAUUGACUAUUCCCUUUUCCUAAAGGGCAGAGACAGAUAAUCUCACUUCCAGAGAAAUGACUUGGAGAAAAAAAAGUGUUGGUCUUUUUGCUCUUUUGUAAUUAAAUCCGGAUGUACCUCAAAAGACUUAAGACUGUGGUGAUAAGAUGCUUUCCUCAGCAGAAAGGAGGGAAAAAAAACAACUGGAACUCAAAGCUUGAAAUUCUGUGGCAAAACAUGAGAUGUCCAGGAUUGGAGGUUGAAAAGAUUUCACUACAGUGUUCUGCAAUAGUUGGAGCAGAUAACUUUCAGUGUAGCCACAGCCAUGGACUCCAGAUUUCCAGAUUUUCAAGACCUGGACCUGGAACCCGAAAGAGCUUGUCACGAUGCGGCAGGAACACUGGAGGUAGAUUUUUUUUUAUUUUUGAAUUUUGGGACUGUUGACCUUGCUGUGAGAAAAGAGACAACGACUGAGCAAGCACUACCACCAGCACUGUUACUGGGAAUUAGAAGACCUGAGUUUCUGUCCAGACCCUCAGUGCAAACUGAGGAUGCUCCAUCCAAAGUGAAUUAUGUCCUGUGCCUCCUGAUUGCUGAGUGUUCACCUGGACCUUCUGACUACCUUCCCUGUGCUAUUCCAUCAGCCUACAGACCUGGUACCUGGAUUUUUGCCCGAGAUGAUUCCUACCACCUUACUACUGACGAAGACACCCAUUCCAGUGGACCACUGUGACCCAGGAGGCAUUCAGCCAUCAUGAUGUGGCCUUUACCUCCACUCCUGUCUUGUUCUACCCAGAUUCAGCACAGCCCUUUAUAGUGAAGUCAGAGUCCUCAAGCCAAAUAGCUAAAGCUGUUUUAUCACAACAAAGGCCUAGUUUGUUCCAUGAGUGUGCAUUUCAUUUCUUCAGUUAAAGCCUUCAGAGACACACAAUAAAUUUGGACCAGGGGAUUUUUUAGUUAUUAAUGCUCUCUGAAGAAAGGCAACAUCUUUUUGAGAGCAGCAUUGGACCACACCCCACAAUCUCAAAUGAUUGAAAUUCAUGAACAUCUAGGAUCCCGUGAAGGUCACUGGACCCUGUUUUUUCUACUUCAAAUCCUGUAGUAGCCUACUGAAUGAGAAAACAUAUUCUGACCCAUUGGGAUCAAAUCAAAGGCACAGUGAACUCCUCAUAGCAUCUUCUUUGGAAUUACUCAGGAACCAGAACUUUUUACACAAAUGUAAGAAAUUCUACCAAGGAGUCCCCUUACCUAACAGCAUCUCACAAGGCUGCACCAGAUUCCAGAAAAGGCUUCUCUUGAUACAUCAAGGUAGAACCUCUAUGCAUUUUGUGACCGACUUAUUCUUAGAUCAUUGGUUUUCCAAAGGCUUUGUGGCCAUGAAGCCCUUUGAGUGAAAACUGUGCAGAAGCCCAGAGUAAAAGUGAAGCUGCUCUGGAUGAAGUAGUGAAGCAAGAGUAGGGGCCUGAAUCCUGCUACAACUAUCUUCCUUUACCACCGUGGUGACACCUAAGGGGACUUCCUUACAACACCUUGAACUCUUCCGAACACAGUUUGAAAACCACUGCCCCAGACAGCAAUAUGUUUGACCUGAAUGGCAUUCCAAUCUUUUCUGUACCUCCACUCAGCACAGUUCAUGUUCAGUAGAUGCUGAACAUUCUUAGAAAUACUGUGUGUGAACUUAGAAAAGUGCAAGAAGACAGGCAUGUCUUUGACCCCAGGAAUGAUCAUUUGCUGAAGAUGGUGUCAAGUGAACCUAGAUUAACAGCCCUCCACUCCAGAUGGAUAUCCAGUGAUUCCUAGAAUGGGAUAUAGCCAGAGAACAAUUCUAUGCACCCUACACUGACAGACUCCCUUAAGCAACACCAGAUGCUCUACUGGUACUUGAAGUACAUGACUUUGAAGUCUUGACCCUCCAUGAAUACCUGAAUUAUCAGCAAGCGGGUUUUGAAGCUGGUGCCUCAUUGAGGCCAUAUUAGAGCAACUUGUACAUUUGACCUCUUGUUAUCAGCCAUGGUACUCUACUUCGUGUGCAAGAGAUAACUAUGAAAGCCAAAUUCAAAUACUGGCAACAUUUCCUAAAGGGGCUCAAUAUCUAUCAUUCGUCUUCUUUUCCAAACUACACAUCACUGUAUGACUCAACCAGUAGCAGUUAUAUUGCCCCUUGGUUUUUAUUCAGUUUAACUACUGUUUCCAAGAUAAAUGAGCUAAUAAGCUUU